CCUACGGGAGGCAGCAGUGAGGAAUAUUGGUCAAUGGGCGAGAGCCUGAACCAGCCAAGUCGCGUGAGGGAGUACUGCCCUAUGGGUUGUAAACCUCUUUUGUCGGGGAGCAAAAGCCGGACGUGUCCGGCUGUGAGAGUACCCGAAGAAAAAGCAUCGGCUAACUCCGUGCCAGCAGCCGCGGUAAUACGGAGGAUGCGAGCGUUAUCGGGAUGUAUUGGGUUUAAAGGGUGCGCAGGCGGAUUUUUAAGUCAGCGGUAAAAUCGUGGGGCUCAACCCCAUCCAGCCGUUGAAACUGGGGAUCUAGAGUGUGCGAGAGGUAUGCGGAAUGCGUGGUGUAGCGGUGAAAUGCAUAGAUAUCACGCAGAACCCCGAUUGCGAAGGCAGCAUACCGGUGCACAACUGACGCUCAGGCACGAAAGCGUGGGUAUCGAACAGGAUUAGAUACCCUUGUAGUC
rnacentral:rRNA from 1 species